rnacentral:tRNA from 1 species
AGGGUUGUGGCGCAGUUGGGUCAGCGCGCUCGUUUCGGGAACGAGAGGCCGGGAGUUCGAAUCUCCCCAGCCCUA